rnacentral:rRNA from 1 species
UACGGAGGGUGCUAGCGUUGUUCGGAAUCACUGGGCGUAAAGGGCGUGUAGGCGGUCUGUUAAGUCUGAUGUGAAAUCCCCUCGCUCAACGAGGGAACUGCGUCGGAUACUGGCAGACUUGAGUACCGGAGAGGAAGGUGGAAUUCCCGGUGUAGCGGUGAAAUGCGUAGAUAUCUGGAGGAACACCGGUGGCGAAGGCGGCAUCCUGGACCGACACUGACGCUGAGGAGCGAAAGCCAGGGGAGCAAACGGG